GGCUCAUCCUACUUGAGCUGAUGGAGUUAUUUUUAAGGUUUCUUCUUAUCCUGAUCUCCUGAUAAUCACAAAACCCCUACAUUUUAUGGAAUAUGGGCUGUUUAUGGGGGUUGUGAGGUAGGUCACCACGUAGACAGGCCUCGGCCCCUGUGACAUCAUGGGAUAGCAUGGAACUUUGAAUCAGGUUUUAGAUGCCAUUCCUUACCACCUUGAUACCAGGAGCAUCUUGAGGUCAGCACAUUCCCCUAAAGGGUCUGUGUAGAAUGAGAGCAGCUGGAAACCACACAGAACAGGAUGCAUAAGAAAUAGGAAGUAGAAGCAUGGAAGGAGGGGAUGAUCCCCUGAAAACGAGAGACGUGUACUGGCCACAGCAAGCUUAGGAUGACGUCCAGAGUGAACGCACGGGGCUAGGAGUAAACACUGGACUUGGUGAAUAAGGGAGGACAUGUGCAGGUAAUUGUUUCCUGAACUAGAAAGUCUCUGAUCUGGCUUGUGAAUUCAGUCAAUCAAAAAGAGCACUUCGAUCUUAUAAAACCAACUGAAAGAACCACUUCUCCUCGUUUGUAUGAAGAGAAGUCAGUAAGGAGUGACUCUCAGAAGACAACUGGAGUGAGGAUACAUGGUGCCACCAUGCCCCCACAAAGCUGAAUAAAGUCUCCCCUGGUCCAGGAUCCCAGUCCUGCCUGAGACCCAGGACAUAAAUACGUUCUACGGUGGGAUCAGGGUCAUCAAGGUCUGCAUGGUCCCUGUUUCUCUUCUACCCUGAGCUCUUCCUUCUGACUCUCACAGCAACAGCACCUCCCAAGGUUCCAGCUUCCCUUCAAAGUCACUGUGGGAGUGUUUCUCUGACUCUACAGAAAGCACCAUCCCUGGAAUGCAGUACGCUGCAGCUGCUCCAAGGCAGCCAUUUGGGGCUGAGAAAGCAGCUCUCCACUGCUUCCUCCAAAGGCAGGAGCAGCCCAGUGGCAGGACUGCCCAUGAGUCUCCUCGUCAACAGACCCUGAGCCUCUGAUGUAAGAAGCCAGAUGUGAUGGAGAUAGGUAGGCUCUGCUUACUGCCUGUCACUCUGAGACUGGCCUUCUCUCAAGGGAGAGCUCGACGUCACCAUUGUUGAUGGAGUGCUGUGACGUCAGGGAAUCGCUUCCAAGAAAUUCAGAAGGAAAGAGGAGAGCAUGAGUGUCACUGCAAGGGGACUGGAAAAGAGCUAAUGACCCUGAAGCUGGUGCUGAGAGCCAGACUCCAGAAUGUGGUGCCCAUCCCAAAGUAUUGCUGCUCGUGGAUGCCUGACUAGAACAUUGUCCAGCAACUAGAAUGGCCCCAUUCCUUCAUUACUUUCUCACAUCCUGACCCACAAUUUCACUAACUGGGGGAGAAGAGUGUGCAAUGUUAAGAACUCCUGGCUCCAAUUACUAGCUGCAUGACCUCAAGCAAAGUAUUCCUCAGCUAUAAAGUGGGGAUAACAUACGACAUACCUUGUAAGUUCUGUGUGUAUGAAGAUUAAAUGAGACAGUGGUUGUAAACUGAUAUUAAUCAUUUGUUUAACGUUAGAUUUUAGAGUUACUGUUGUAAGCUUUAAAUGUGCAGUACUUGGUAGAGAUUUGAUGAAUAUGUACUUUAAUUUUCUUUUUGUUUUCCCCUGUUUUUGUAUCACUCUUUAAUCAGUCUGAAAGGUUUCUGGCUUGAUGUAUGCCUACUUACAACUUACCAUAAAAGGAGCCUCAUGUAUACUUCCAACAGUCCCCCAACCCCUUAUGCCAAAAGCAAAUAAAAACAAUCCAGUUGAAAGCAAUGUGUGAGCUGAUAAGACUAUUUACAGCACUGUGUGAAGAGGAGUGAAAGCUUCUUGCUGUUUUUCCUUUAAGGCUUAUUUGGAGCAUGUAUAUCUUAAUAGAGUCAAACACACUACAUAGUAAACUUUUUUAUGCUUAAAAAAAUUAAUAGCGUGUCUAAAUUAUCCCAUUUUAUUUAAGAUAGAUUCAUUAUCAUUUUAAAUAUUGACUGAUAAUCCAUCAUAAUUCUCUUAUUGACAGUUGUUUUCCAUUUCAUUAAGCUAUAAAUA
rnacentral:lncRNA from 1 species